UUAUCCUACGGGAGGCAGCAGUGAGGGAUAUUGGUCAAUGGGGGAAACCCUGAACCAGCAACGCCGCGUGAGGGAAGACGGUUUUCGGAUUGUAAACCUCUGUCCUCUGUGAAGAUGAUGACGGUAGCAGAGGAGGAAGCUCCGGCUAACUACGUGCCAGCAGCCGCGGUAAUACGUAGGGGGCAAGCGUUAUCCGGAUUUACUGGGUGUAAAGGGAGCGUAGACGGCAGCGCAAGUCUGAAGUGAAAUCCCAUGGCUUAACCAUGGAACUGCUUUGGAAACUGUGCAGCUGGAGUGCAGGAGAG
rnacentral:rRNA from 1 species